UACAGAGGUCCCAAGCGUUGUUCGGAUUCACUGGGCGUAAAGGGUGCGUAGGCGGUCGGGUAAGUCUGACGUGAAAUCUUCAAGCUCAACUUGGAAACUGCGUCCGAUACUAUUCGGCUAGAGGAAUGGAGGGGAGACUGGAAUACUUGGUGUAGCAGUGAAAUGCGCAGAUAUCGGGAGGAACACCGGUGGCGAAGGCGGUUCUCUGGGCCUUACCUGACGCUGAGGAGCGAAAGCGUGGGGAGCGAACAGG
rnacentral:rRNA from 1 species